UGAAUACGAGAUGCUAAGGCGUCGAAGUAGUGUAUGUCAUGCUUCCAAGAAAAGCUUGCAAUGUCAUAAAUAAAAAGUGCCUGUACCAUAACCGACACAGGUGGGUAAGUAGAGUAUACUAAGGGGCGCGAGAUAACUCUCUCUAAGGAACUCGGCAAAAUAACUCCGUAACUUCGGGAGAAGGAGUGCCUUAUUCUUAAGGUUGCAAUAACAAGAUCCAAGCAACUGUUUAUCAAAAACACGGGUCUCCGCUAAGUCGUAAGACGAUGUAUGGGGGCUGACGCCUGCCCAGUGCCAGAAGGUUAAAGAAGUCGGUUAGCAAUUGCGAAGCUGGUAACUGAAGCCCUGGUGAACGGCGGCCGUAACAAUAACGGUCCUAAGGUAGCGAAAUUCCUUGUCGGGUAAGUUCCGACCCGCACGAAAGGCGUAAUGAUUUGGAUGCUGUCUCGGAGAGGGGCUCGGUGAAAUAGACUUGUCUGUGAAGAUGCGGACUACCUGCACCAGGACAGAAAGACCCUAUGAAGCUUUACUGUAACUUGAAAUUGAAAUUGGACUUUAUUCGCGCAGUAUAGGUGGGAGGCGUUGAUUAUAAUCUUGCGGGAUUAUCGGAGCCAUCAGUGAGAUACCACUCUUCUAAUGUUAGAUUUCUAACUUUGAAUCAUUAUCUGGUCAAAGGACAAUUUCAGGCGGGCAGUUUGACUGGGGCGGUCGCCUCCUAAAUGGUAACGGAGGCGUACAAAGGUUUCCUCUGAACGGUUAGAAAUCGUAUCUAGAGUGUAAAGGCAUAAGGAAGCUUGACUGUGAGACCUACAAGUCGAGCAGGGACGAAAGUCGGUCUUAGUGAUCUGACGGUACUGAGUGGAAAGGCCGUCACUCAACGGAUAAAAGUUACUCUAGGAUAACAGGCUGAUCUCCCCCAAGAGUUCACAUCGACGGGGAGGUUUGGCACCUCGAUGUCGGCUCAUCGCAUCCUGGGGCGGUAGUACGUCCCAAGGGUUGGGCUGUUCGCCCAUGAAAGCGGUACGCGAGCUGGGUUCAGAACGUCGUGAGACAGUUCGGUCCAUAUCCGGUGUAGGCGUUAGAAUAUUGAGAGGAGCCUUCUUUAGUACGAGAGGACCGAGAAGGACAUACCUCUGGUGUACCAGUUAUCGUGCCAACGGUAAACGCUGGGUAGCUAUGUAUGGAGUGGAUAACCGCUGAAAGCAUCUAAGUGGGAAGCCCACCCCAAGAUAAGUAUUCUC
rnacentral:rRNA from 1 species